rnacentral:rRNA from 1 species
CCUACGGGAGGCAGCAGUGGGGAAUCUUGCGCAAUGGCCGAGAGGCUGACGCAGCGACGCCGCGUGCGGGAGGAAGCCCUUCGGGGUGUAAACCGCUGUCACCGGGGACGAAUGUCGUGUGACCGAACAGGGAGCACGGUUGACGGUACCCGGGGAGGAAGCGCCGGCUAACUCCGUGCCAGCAGCCGCGGUAAU